rnacentral:rRNA from 1 species
UACGUAGGGUGCAAGCGUUUGUCCGGAAUUAUUGGGCGUAAAGAGCUCGUAGGCGGCUUGUCGCGUCGGCUGUGAAAACCUGGGGCUCAACCCCGGGCCUGCAGCCGAUACGGGCAAGCUAGAAUUCGGUAGGGGAGACUGGAAUUCCCGGUGUAGCGGUGAAAUGCGUAGAGAUCGGGAGGAACACCGGCGGCGAAGGCGGCUGCCUGGACCGGCCCUGACGCUGAGGCGCGAAAGCCAGGGAGCAAACGGG